rnacentral:rRNA from 1 species
UACGUAGGUGACAAGCGUUGUCCGGAUUUACUGGGCGUAAAGAGCGCGCAGGCGGUCGUUCAAGUCGAGUGUGAAAGCCCCCGGCUCAACUGGGGAGGGUCAUUCGAUACUGAUCGACUCGAAGGCAGGAGAGGGAAGUGGAAUUCCCGGUGUAGCGGUGAAAUGCGCAGAUAUCGGGAGGAACACCGGUGGCGAAGGCGGCGUUCUGGACUGUAUCUGACACUGAGGAACGAAAGCCAGGGGAGCAAACGGG